rnacentral:tRNA from 1 species
CGCGGUGUAGCUCAAUCAGGCUAGAGCAUUCGCUUGAUAAGCGAACGAUGAAAGGUUCAACUCCUUCCACCGCGA